rnacentral:rRNA from 1 species
UACGGAGGAUGCGAGCGUUAUCCGGAUUUAUUGGGUUUAAAGGGUGCGUAGGCGGAAUAUCAAGUCAGCGGUAAAAAUUCGGGGCUCAACCCCGUCGUGCCGUUGAAACUGGCGGGCUGGAGUUGGAGAGAAGUACGCGGAAUGCGCGGUGUAGCGGUGAAAUGCAUAGAUAUCGCGCAGAACCCCGAUUGCGAAGGCAGCCUGCCGGCCCCACACUGACGCUGAGGCACGAAAGCGUGGGUAUCGAACAGG